GUACUCAUGAAGGGUUCCAGACUAGGACGAAACAGCUGUCUAGUAC
rnacentral:hammerhead_ribozyme from 1 species